GCCGCAAUGGUGGAAUUGGUAGACACGAGGGACUUAAAAUCCCUUGGCCGUAAGGCUGUGCGGGUUCGAGUCCCGCUCGCGGCA
rnacentral:tRNA from 1 species